rnacentral:rRNA from 1 species
CCUACGGGGGGCAGCAGUGGGGAAUAUUGCGCAAUGGGCGAAAGCCUGACGCAGCGACGCCGCGUGAGGGAUGAAGGUCUUCGGAUCGUAAACCUCUGUCAGCAGGGAAGAACGGUCACUGUGCUAAUCAGCAGUGAAUUGACUGUACCUGCAAAGGAAGCACAGGCUAACUCCGUGCCAGCCGCCGCGGUAAUACGGAGGGUGCGAGCGUUAAUCGGAAUUACUGGGCGUAAAGCGCUCGUAGGCGGUAUGUCAAGUCAAGGGUGAAAUCCCCGCGCUCAACGUGGGAACUGCCUUUGAAACUGGCAAACUGGAGUGUGUGAGAGGAUAGUGGAAUUCCAGGUGUAGGAGUGAAAUCCGUAGAUAUCUGGAGGAACAUCAGUGGCGAAGGCGACUAUCUGGCACAUAACUGACGCUGAGGAGCGAAAGCGUGGGUAGCAAACAGGAUUAGAUACCCCUGUAGUC